rnacentral:snRNA from 1 species
GUGUUUGCUUCAGCAACACAUGUGCUAAAAUUGGACCGAAGCAGAGAAGAUUAGCAUGGCCCCUGCAUCAAGGAUGACACGCAAGUUCAUGAAGCAUCCCAUAUUUCU